rnacentral:rRNA from 1 species
AUACGGGGGGAGCGAGCGUUAAUCGGAAUUACUGGGCGUAAAGCGCGCGUAGGCGGCUUUGUAAGUCGGAUGUGAAAGCCCUGGGCUUAACCUGGGAAUGGCAUUCGAUACUGCAGAGCUAGAGUAUGGUAGAGGGAAGUGGAAUUUCCGGUGUAGCGGUGAAAUGCGUAGAUCCCGAUAGGAACACCAAUGGCGAAGGCAGCUUCUUGGUCCAUUACUGACGCUGAGGCGCGAAAGCGUGGGGAGCAAACAGGAUUAGAAACCCCAGUAGUCC